rnacentral:rRNA from 1 species
AACGAACGCUGGCGGCGCGCCUAACACAUGCAAGUCGAACGAGAAUCCGGGGCAACCCGGUAGUAAAGUGGCAAACGGGUGAGGAAUACAUGGGUAACCUACCCUUGAGAAGGGAAUAACCCGCCGAAAGGUGAGCUAAUACCCUAUACGCUAUCUUUUUUUCGAAAAGGAUAGGAAAGCCGGGUCGAGGACCUGGUACUCAAGGAGGGGCUCAUGUCCUAUCAGCUUGUUGGUGGGGUAACGGCCUACCAAGGCUACGACGGGUAGCUGGUCUGAGAGGAUGAUCAGCCACACUGGCACUGAGAUACGGGCCAGACUCCUACGGGAGGCAGCAGUGAGGAAUAUUGCGCAAUGGGCGAAAGCCUGACGCAGCGACGCCGCGUGGGGGAGUGAAGGUUUUCGGAUUGUAAACCCCUUUCAUGAGGAAGAUAAAGUGGGUAACCACUUAGACGGUACCUCAAGAAGAAGCCACGGCUAACUUCGUGCCAGCAGCCGCGGUAAAGUCCUAGCAUG